rnacentral:rRNA from 1 species
GACGAACGCUGGCGGCGUGCUUAACACAUGCAAGUCGAACGAAGAGCGAUGGAAGCUUGCUUCUAUCAAUCUUAGUGGCGAACGGGUGAGUAACGCGUAAUCAACCUGCCCUUCAGAGGGGGACAACAGUUGGAAACGACUGCUAAUACCGCAUACGAUCUAAUCUCGGCAUCGAGGAUAGAUGAAAGGUGGCCUCUACAUGUAAGCUAUCACUGAAGGAGGGGAUUGCGUCUGAUUAGCUAGUUGGAGGGGUAACGGCCCACCAAGGCGAUGAUCAGUAGCCGGUCUGAGAGGAUGACCGGCCACAUUGGGACUGAGACACGGCCCAGACUCCUACGGGAGGCAGCAGUGGGGAAUCUUCCGCAAUGGACGAAAGUCUGACGGAGCAACGCCGCGUGAGUGAUGACGGCCUUCGGGUUGUAAAGCUCUGUUAAUCGGGACGAAAGGCCUUCUUGCGAAUAGUGAGAAGGAUUGACGGUACCGGAAUAGAAAGCCACGGCUAACUACGU